GGAUAGAGUAGCAGCUCACAAGUAGCAACUCACAUAGAGUGGUGAGGUUGAGCUUAGUCGGCAUGUGAAGCCAAGGUCAGCCAUAGAUGGCAUAAGCCGACAAGAGACAUUUGAGGUACUACACCCCAUAAAAUUGAAUCUCUCCCAAAACUAGAGAUGCAUAACAGCGAAUGAAAAACAAUCCUACAGGCAAACCACCAAGUAAGGUAAAGAAUCCUAGACCAAUAAAUAAUCUCACCAGAUCAAUGUCGAAUCAAUCACAAAUAGUAAAAGAAAAUAGAAACUGGAAACAAGGCGGAUCAAACAAGAGACUCUCUCUCUCUUUGAAGCCUAAACUGCUAAAGAACCCAAAAUGAA
rnacentral:misc_RNA from 1 species